ensembl:misc_RNA Metazoa_SRP Metazoan signal recognition particle RNA
GCCGGGCAUGGUGGCUCAUACCUGUAAUCCUAGCACUUUGGGAGGCCGAGGCAGGAGGAUCCCUUUAGCCCAGGAGUUCAAGACCCUCCUGGGCAAUAUAGGGAGACCCUGUCUCUU